CCACUUGUUGGCCUCGGUUGCAUAGGAACCGAGGCUAAAAGUCUGAUAUACAAAUACGACAGGCGCGCAUGGAUGCUUUUUCCCUGACUCCUUUUCUCACUCGUUGUGCGAGCGAGCGAGAGAGAUCUUCGUUCUCUUUCUAGGGUUUUCCCCUAGGAAUUUCACACCUCGAUCGUCCUUCCUUUUUUUUCAUUUAAUUUUCUACAAAUCUCUUUGAUUUCUUCGAUCUUUGAAGAGCCUGUCAAGACCUCGAUCUCUUUCUUCGCUUUUUCGCCUAGGGUUUCUGCUCCCGAUUCAUAGAUUUGACUCCUUUUUUCUCGUUUUCUCAACUUCAAUCUCUAUAAAAGAGUUGGAAUCCUUCUUCGCCGCUCCUUUCUAGGGUUCCUGCUCGAGAUUUGCUGUUUUGUUCGUUGGGUUCCUGGAAAAUACAUUCAAGAAGGUUGGGAGAAUGCAGCAGAGAUUGAAGCAGCAGCAACAGCAACAAGCCCUAUUGCAGCAGGCAUUGCUACAGAAGAAGCAACUCUACCAUCCUAGCAUCCUCAUGGCUGCCAUGUCUCAGGUACCAUUCCAGUAUCAGAUUUCCCCCCAAAUUUCUCAGUUUUCGUCCAUGGGCACUGGUGCUAUAAGAGGAUUACCCAAAUGAGAAGAAGAAAAAGAAGGUGACAAGUUUUAUUCUUUUGCCAGAGAAGAAGAAGGUGACAAGUUUUAUUCUUUUGCAAGAGAAGAAGGUGACAAGUUUUAUUAUUUAUAGGUUUUGACCCUUCCACUUUCAUGCCUGAUUAAAGUUCUCCUCCGCCCUUUGAUUUUACAGAUGCGGAUUGGCUUGUUACCCGAGGUUGUAUCGUGGUGAUCCAAUGUUAAAUCCUCUUACACCUUGGGAUAGACCUCCAUUGAAAAACAUUUUCUGUAUAUAUGAGAUCGAUAUGAAGACUGAGAUUGAAGGUUAUUGUUCAAGGUUAUAGGAUGUGAAGACUGGUGGAGGCAAGUUUUUUCAGCACAAGGCUUAUUGUGAAAAGCAUAUCUUGGAUCAGAAAAAGAAGGCCGAGAGUCUGCAACAUGGACCUGAUGAGGUCCGCCACAUUAAGCAAAUCCAACCAGCAGCCCAGAGCUACCUGUUGAGGUUGCAAGGCCUGCUACGCACAAUUCGAAUGGAGAAUGCUGGUGGAGGCAAUGAUGACGCUGGCCUGGAAGCAGCAGAAGAUGGAUGGGUAGUGUUAUCUUAAGGUCUGCCAAGCAUGACGGCACCGGUGAUGAAGGUCGCAACCAUGACUUUGUAUUAUUUAUGGAACCAAAUGUUGUGUAACAGUUUGAUUGAGUUAAACUUUAAAUAGACUGUUGUUAACUGUUUUGUUGGUAUUAUGGCUUUCAUGAUUGAUUGUUUCA